GGGUAAGUAGUGUAAUGGUUAGCAUUAUUGAUUGUGGCUCAAUAGACCCGUGUUCGAUUCACGGCUUACCCA
rfam:Tritrichomonas foetus strain K scaffold_856, whole genome shotgun sequence.